rnacentral:rRNA from 1 species
AAUGAACGUUGGCGGCGUGGAUUAGGCAUGCAAGUCGCGCGAUAAAUCGCCUUCGGGCGAUGGAAAGCGGCGAAAGGGAGAGUAAUGCGUGGGUACCUGCCCUCAGGACCGGGAUAGCUGCGGGAAACUGCAGAUAAUACCGGAUGAUGUCUCCGGACCAAAGGUGUGAUUCCGCCGGAGGAGGGGCCCACGUCCUAUCAGCUAGUUGGCGAGGUAAUGGCUCACCAAGGCGACGACGGGUACGGGGUGUGAGAGCAUGCCCCCGCUCACUGGGACUGAGACACUGCCCAGACACCUACGGGUGGCUGCAGUCGAGAAUCUUCCGCAAUGGGCGAAAGCCUGACGGAGCGACGCCGCGUGCGGGAUGAAGGCCUUCGGGUUGUAAACCGCUGUCAGUGGGGAGGAAAUGCACGGGGGUUCUCCCUCGUGUUUGACCGAUCCGCAGAGGAAGCACAGGCUAAGUUCGUGCCAGCAGCCGCCGUAAUAC